UACAGAGGGUGCGAGCGUUAAUCGGAAUUACUGGGCGUAAAGGGCGCGUAGGCGGGUGCUUAAGUUAGGUGUGAAAUUCCUGGGCUUAACCUAGGGACUGCACUUAAUACUGGGUAUCUAGAGUAGAGUAGAGGGAAGUGGAAUUUCCGGUGUAGCGGUGAAAUGCGUAGAUAUCGGAAAGAACACCAGUGGCGAAGGCGGCUUCCUGGACUCAUACUGACGCUGAGGCGCGAAAGCGUGGGGAGCAAACAGG
rnacentral:rRNA from 1 species